rnacentral:lncRNA from 1 species
GUUGAGGCGGUCUUCGUAUAUUUCGACCUUAUUUAUCUGAGAAUUUAUAUUAGGCUGUAAAAUUGUUAGUUUGCCCUCCAUUGAGGGACUGGUAGAAGUAUAGGAAAAAGUCUAAAUUGUAAUAAGUAGUACCAUAUAGAAUAUAAUCCCAAAUCAACCAUAAAGUGCUAUGCAUAGAAGAGAGAAGUCUAAUUAGAAAUAAAAUAGCAAUUUUAUAUUUAUAUAAGGUUUUAUAUUUUAUGUAAUGUAAAAAGUUUUAGAUAAAUGUUGUAAAUUUUACAUAGAAUAAUUGUAGUCGAAAAGACUUGCUUGUAAUACAGGAAGACGGACAAAUAUAUAUUGAGUAUGGCUACUAUACUUUUACGAGUAUAGAGUCAUUCAUACUUAUAAGUCGUUUUCGAUAAUAAUGUGACGCCCCAACUUCCUAGGGUGUCACCCAUCCUAGAACUACUUUCAUCCUAGCACAUUUAACACUUUUAACCUCUUGGGUUUAACACGUCUCUUAACCUCUUAGGUCUGGCCAUCACCGAAAAUGUUUAAGCCGGUUUAAGAGUUUUAGUCUUAUUAUAUUUUAUAUAUAGGACUAUCUAUGGUCUCACAUUCUCCUCUUUUUAAGUCUUGACGUUCUCGUCAGACUCAAACUCACAAAUAUCAGGCGAUGUGAGAUUCGUCUUGCUAGACUUGUCAUUCCGACAGACCCUGACUUAGCUGAGACUCAUCUCAUACUUUCGGCUAAUAAUCGGCUCUGAUACCAACUAUGACGUCCUAAUUUUUCAAGGGAUCAUCCAUCCAAGGACUAUUCCCGUCCUAGUACACUUAAGGGGGCGUUUGGAUUGACGUAUUUGUAGAUUCAACGUAAGUCAAGUGUAGUGGUGUUUGAGUUUCCCUGAAGUGUGAUUAUUUUUUUGUUGUUUGUUUUGACGUAACUCGUACCGCCUGAAAGUUAAAUUCAAUCACUUAUGUUGUUUGUUUUGAUGUAACUUGGUGUUGGUAAAAUUAGUUUUUUGAAUUUCGUUGUUUGUUUUGAUGUAAGUAAGUGGAUCUCAUUAUCUCCUAAAUAUAGUAGUAAAUUUAUCACUAUAAAAUUUAAUCUAUUAUAUAAUUAAUUUUUUUAUUAUUAUUUAAAGAUAAUUCUAAUUUAUUAUAAAUAAGGUAAUUCUAACCCAUUAUAAAGAAAGUAAAGUUUAGGUUUUACUGUUUAAUAAAUUUUUUAGAGGAGGUUGAGUGUAGUGAAAGUCAAGUUCGACACUUGAGAGGAGGAAGUCGAGAGUAGAUGAAGUAGAGCUCUAACGUAACUUGAGUUACAUUAUAUUUUUUUACUUACAUCAAAACAAAUAACGGAAGUGAUGGAACUUGAGUUCCAUUAUUCCACUUACACCAAAACAAACGGGCCCUAAUUCUUUUAACCUCUUGGGCCUAACCACCACCUUAAUAAUUUAAAUUGGGUUACAAGUUUUAGCCCUAUUAUAUUUUAUAUAUAAGACUAAUGGGUCUCACAAAUAAAACUUUCGAAUUGACGAUUCAUACCGUUAAAUAUGAUUUAGAAUAUUUGAAACUUUUAGAAACUAAAUUUCAUAAAAUUUUGAAAUUAUAAUAAAGUCUAUUAAACGGACAUAAAAUUAACGGUCAAAAUCAAAUGACCUCCUAAAAUUAGAGGAUCAGAUUCUUUAAUUUAAAUCAGAGUUAUUAAUUUUUAUCUAGAUAGUGAAUAAAAUUUUCUAUCAAAAAUUCAACUAAUUUUAAUUGUUUACACUGUUAAACCAGCAAUUAUUUUUUAUCGACUGUUAAAACUUAUCAACUUUGAGAUUUUUUGAUCUAA